AGUGAACGCUGGCGGCAUGCCUAUCACAUGCAAGUCGAGCGAGUUGAUCCCUUCGGGGUGAAGCUAGCGGCGGACGGGUGAGUAACACGUGGGCAACCUGCCUCAUAGAGGGGAAUAGCCUUCCGAAAGGAAGAUUAAUACCGCAUAAGAUUGUAGCUUCGCAUGAAGCAGCAAUUAAAGGAGCAAUCCGCUAUGAGAUGGGCCCGCGGCGCAUUAGCUAGUUGGUGAGGUAACGGCUCACCAAGGCGACGAUGCGUAGCCGACCUGAGAGGGUGAUCGGCCACAUUGGGACUGGGACACGGCCCAGACUCCUACGGGAGGCAGCAGUGGGGAAUAUUGCACAAUGGGGGAAACCCUGAUGCAGCAAUGCCGCGUGAGUGAUGACGGCCUUCGGGUUGUAAAGCUCUGUCUUCGGGGACGAUAAUGACGGUACCCGAGGAGGAAGCCACGGCUAACUACGUGCCAGCCGCCGCCGUAA
rnacentral:rRNA from 1 species